rnacentral:rRNA from 1 species
GGCCGGGUGUGGAAGCGCUGCAAGGCGUUGAGCUAACCGGUACUAAUGGCCCGUGAGGCUUGACCAUA